GACGAACGCUGGCGGCGUGCCUAAUACAUGCAAGUCGAACGAGAGCAACCGGUGCUUGCACUGGUCAAUCUAGUGGCGAACGGGUGAGUAACACGUGGGUAACCUGCCCAUCAGAGGGGGAUAACAUCCGGAAACGGAUGCUAAAACCGCAUAGGUCUUCGAACCGCAUGGUUUGAAGAGGAAAAGAGGCGCAAGCUUCUGCUGAUGGAUGGACCCGCGGUGCAUUAGCUAGUUGGUGAGGUAACGGCUCACCAAGGCCGUGAUGCAUAGCCGACCUGAGAGUGUGAUCGGCCACAUUGGGACUGAGACACGGCCCAAACUCCUACGGGAGGCAGCAGUAGGGAAUCUUCCGCAAAGGACGCAAGUCUGACGGAGCAACGCCGCGUGAGUGAAGAAGGUGUUCGGAUCGUAAAACUCUGUUGUUAGAGAAGAACAAGUGCUAGAGUAACUGUUAGCGCCUUGACGGUAUCUAACCAGAAAGCCACGGCUAACUACGUG
rnacentral:rRNA from 1 species